GUGCCAGGCACUUGGGAGCUUUGGCCUACAAAUUGUGCCUGAACUGUUCUCAAAGAGUAUUGUUUGUUUUACUUUGAGUCUUUCAUCAACUCUGAAUGAACUACAGAUAGUAAUGAUUGGAGGAGUUCCCAAGAAACAGGCAACAAUGGCUCAGAAAAAUAGAAGAUGAGUGGGUCAUGGGCAACCUUAUCAUGAUCAGGAGAUUGCCUGGAAGAUGGGGAGAAGAAACAGUGAGAAAGUGCUGGACAGUCCUAACAAUAGAAAUUCAAGUGGGUGAAGUAACAACAAGCAAAUGGUUUGUGAUUUACCUUCUACUCCCAAAGGACGUGAGGAAAACUAAUCAGAAUGGUGCCCGGGAAUGCACACAGGAUUUGAGGUCAGAAAACAAAUCCUAGUCCCAGUUUCAUUACAUACCAGUGUUGUGACCUUAAACAAGUCAAUUAAAUUCUCAGAACUUCAAUGAUUUCAUCC
ensembl:lincRNA